rfam:Gorilla gorilla gorilla genomic chromosome, chr19, whole genome shotgun sequence
GCUGGGCGCAGUGGCUCACGCCUGUAAUGCCACUACUUUGGGAGGUUGCGGCAGGUGGAUCACCUGAGGUCAGGAGAUCAAGACCAGCCUGGCCAACAUGGUGAAACCCAGUCUCAACUAAAAAUAGAAAAAAAAAAAAANNNNNNNNNNUUUUUUUUUUUUUCUAUUUUUAGUUGAGACUGGGUUUCACCAUGUUGGCCAGGCUGGUCUUGAUCUCCUGACCUCAGGUGAUCCACCUGCCGCAA